rnacentral:pre_miRNA from 1 species
AAAAUCGGGGGAUCUUGUUGGAACACAGAUCCUGAUUCUCUAGGGCUAGGGUGGAGCCUGAGAUUUUGCAUUUCCAACAAGCUUCCAGGUAAGGCUGAG